UUUAAUGGAGAGUUUGAUCCUGGCUCAGGAUGAAUGCUGGCGGCAUGCCUAAUACAUGCAAGUCGAGCGGUAGCAUGGCUUCACCGUUUCCUU
rnacentral:rRNA from 1 species